rnacentral:rRNA from 1 species
UACCAGCACCCCGAGUGGUCGGGACGAUUAUUGGGCCUAAAGCAUCCGUAGCCGGUUUUACAAGUCCUCCGUUAAAUCCAGCUGCUUAACAGAUGGGCUGCGGAGGAUACUAUAAGACUAGGAGGCAGGAGAGGCAAGCGGUACUCAGUGGGUAGGGGUAAAAUCCGUAGAUCUACGAAGGAAGGCCAAAAGCGAAGGCAGCUCUCUGGGUCCCUACCGACGCUGGGGUGCGAAAGCAUGGGGAGCGAACAGG